ACGGGUGAGUAAUACGUAGGAAUCUGCCUAUGAGAGUGGGACAACCCGAGGAAACUCGGGCUAAUACCGCAUAAGCUCUAUGGAGGAAAGGCUGGGUAGCAAUACCUGGCGCUGAUAGAGGAGCCUACGUCCGAUUAGCUAGUUGGUGGGGUAAAGGCCUACCAAGGCGACGAUCGGUAACUGGUCUGAGAGGAUGACCAGUCACACUGGGACUGAGACACGGCCCAGACUCCUACGGGAGGCAGCAGUGGGGAAUAUUGGACAAUGGGGGCAACCCUGAUCCAGCAAUGCCGCGUGUGUGAAGAAGGCCUUCGGGUUGUAAAGCACUUUAGUUGGGGAAGAAGGUUUGUAUUUUAAGAGAUAACAAGCUUGACGGUACCCAACGAAUAAGCACCGGCUAACUCUGUGCCAGCAGCCGCGGUAAUACAGAGGGUGCGAGCGUUAAUCGGAAUGACUGGGCGUAAAGGGCGUGUAGGUGGUUGUAUAAGUUGGUUGUGAAAUCCCUGGGCUUAACCUAGGAAUGGCAACUGAUACUGUAUGACUAGAGUACUGUAGAGGGUAGUGGAAUUUCCGGUGU
rnacentral:rRNA from 1 species